rnacentral:rRNA from 1 species
UCACACACCGCCCGUCCGCUUCAUCGAAGUUGGUUUUUAGGCGAGGUGGUGCGAUAUUGGCAUUAUCGAACCUGAGAUCAGCAACGAGGGAG